UUAAGCACUGAAAGGUGCGAUAAGGUCUCCCUGGAUCUUCUCUUCUCCAGGCUGAACACCCCAACUCUCUCAGCCUUUUCUGCUAUGUUGGUCAUUGGAUGGAGACUUGCUAGCCAGUUCAGUGAGCAGUUUUGUUUAGUUUUUAGAUGUGCGAUGCCAGGUCCUGUGUUGGGCUUAGUUCCUGUGGUUUCUCCAAAGAUACGCAGGUGAGAGCUGAAGGUGGAUGGUUUUACAGCAAAAAGGGGAAUGGGUGUUUCCAGCCAGCACUCUUAUCUGCAGAGCCCAUCACUGGGAUGAAUUAAAAAAUACUGACUUCCACCAUGCUCUCUUCUCAUUUCUUAGUUGUUUCUCAGGCAAAGCUGUUAUUAAUUCAGGAGGAGUCUGCCGGAGCAAAAUCUCUCCGGAGUCCAAAAUAUUUUUCAGAGAGUAAAUAUAAAAAUUAUUCACCUACCACAGAAGAGCAUCAGCCUCUGGGUGGAAUGCAGGAGCUGUUUAACAGUGUGCAGGAACAUUUCCCCGCAGGUUUGGACAGGAGUUUUGAAGGCUUGUGUAUGCCCAACUGAAACUACAACUGAAAGCAGGAAGCAAUAAGCUGGGCCCCCUCCUUUGCCUUGGUCCGGGUUGGGCUUGAAAGGGGCAGCACCACCUACCCAAGCACCACACCGCUUCUCUAGGAUGCUGGGAGAUGUUUCUGGAGCUUGCCCAUCUGACCCAGUCCUCCACAUGAGAUCUGGCAAGAUAAUUGCUCCAAGUGUCUGGGGAGCAGCACCAGAAGCAACUGCAGGGUGAGGAUGCUCUGUGAGUUUGAGGACCUCAUCUCCAAGAAUACAAAAGCUCCUUCUCUCUUCCCAAAUCACAGGGAGAAUGACCAUCUCGUACCUCCAGCCCUGGGAACACCCUGUGCGUCUCGGUCCAUACAUCCUGUCGCAAUCUGAUACCAGGUUGUAUCUGCUCUCAUGCCUUUAUGCCAACCACAGCUGCAGAAGAUCAAGUGCUCUAGAAUCCUCAUGGAUGGAAAUGGCUGCAGAAAUGCGUUUCUGUGCUUUUUCUCCAUGAGGAUGAAAGGUCCUGGUCUGGCAGGAGCAAGGAAUGAAGCUCUUGGUUGCUCAUUCUAUUGGGCUCUGUGCAGAAAGACACAACCUCCCCCUGCCUUGCUUUCUUCACUGCUCCUAAAAGGAUCAAGGACAGAUGAGAAAUAGAGGGUUACCCUCCACUGUCUUGGUUGGGAGGGGACUUGAGAAGCUCCUGGCACCACCACCUCUGAACUUAAUGCUCUCUGCCUCAUCUGCCAUCCGUUGUGCAUCCCGCUCCCAGCCCGGGCAGCGGGCUCCUGUUAUACAGCACGCCACAUUUUUCUGCUGUGGUAAAUCAGAGCCCCCUGGGAUCUGGCAUUGUGCUUUUUUUUUCCCCAGGUAUUUUUGUCUGUGAACCACAGAAAACUGAAUAGCAGGAAAUGAAGUGCAGAUUGAGAACAUGGUUGAGUGCACUUGCUAAAAUAAAACAUUGGGGGGGAGGGAAAGAUUCUUUUAUAAAUAGAAAAUGAAUUAUGUUUACUUUUUAUUGAUGAAGUAUUUAAUUGUGCUGAAAGUUAGAGAGAUGCUCUUAGCAGCAUCUCAGACUGUGCGUUGACUAGAAAUGCCAAUUGGUAUUUGGUACUAAUACCUCACUAGGUCAAACUCACCUGUUUUGUGGCUGAGAAGGGCAAAGGGAUGUCAGGAUUUUUUGGCGAUAUCUGACAUGCCACAGUUGUGCCAGGAGGGCCAGAGAACUCCACUGAUCUCUUCUUCAUCACGUUGUGUCACGGAGCUGUGCCAUGGAGCCUUGGAGCCUGUUUGCACUCUGUUGUGCCUCUGCCUUUUUUUCUUAAGCAAGGCAAGCAGUACAAGCGAGUGCAGGGUGUGGAGAUAAGGCUGUGACCUUUUAGAUUAUUCUGUUGCUCUGCUACAAAUGCUGGAUGGGCCCAGGCAGGCAGCUGGGUGCUUUUGUGAGGUUAAAUUAAUCUCAUUAAUUCAGAUGUCUAAAAGUAGAAACCUUUAGUCGUCAGUGACUGGGACUGCUUUCUUGUGGGGGGUAGAUCUCUUAGAGUCCAUCUCACGCCUCUGGAGCUGUCCUGUUCUCCCUGUGUUUCUGAAUCACUAUCUGAAAGACUGUAUUUUUGUAUUUGUUUUGAUCCAGCGAAGGAUUAUGAGGCUUUAAAAGCAGAGGAGACUAAGAUGCUUGGAGUCUCCAUGAUAGAUCUGUGCACCUUUACAAGAAGCAUGGGUGCGACCAAGAGGUGUGCUCAUAAUGAAUGAAAUUGGAGCUGCUUUUGUUGGGGCAUUUGGUUGGUUUUAGCUGUGUAAAGUGUCCGGGGAAGCUUUUAAGCACAUGCCAGAGUCAGUGCGAGCUAUAACCACCUGUAUGAAAUCUUGCUCCAAUCAGACCUUAAAUGUAUAGAAAUCGAACACACUGGUUGCUUUUCAAAGGGACCAAUUAUUGAUCAUCCAAAUGUCUAUGGAGCAAAACUGUCACAAAGGAAACCCAGGUGAGCAGCCCCAUCUCAACCAUCCUUCACCCUUUUCCAGCUGUGCUGGCACAGGGAAAGCUGUCGUUUGGCCAUGAGAGCUGGUGGUGCCACCUUUGCUUCCAGGCCAGAUGGGAGCUGGGGAUCUGCUGGAAACGUUCUGGCUCUUCCACCUGUCCCUAAGGCCAUGGAAUAGAGCAUGUAGAGAUGAUCCAGGCCUCUCUGUCUCAUCCAUCUUACCUAUUUACACCAAGUUGCCCUUUCCGAAAGUCACAUCUUGACAAUGCCUUAGCAGAGGAACAUGCCCAGUUACACAGCCUCCAGAUGAAACAGCCACCAGCCUGACAGAGGAGAGAGACCUCAUCUGCAAGGGAAUGGCAAAUUCAUUUGCCUUCCUUGGGGAUAAAAGCCCCUUGGCAGCUUGUUACGAGCUCCCAUGAGAAGACACGAAUCUUGCUGAUGGGAGUGGGCAGUCCCUGUGCCGGCCAGCGUGCCAGUGGGAAGUGGAAUUGGGAUUCAGGCAGAGGAGAAAUUCUAGAGGGGAGAAUAGAUGCAAGAAAUUCCUAGGAAUGUUACAGAAAUCAACAUCCCCCCCUCUGCUCCUUCCAAACCAACCCACCUAAAAAAUGCCGUUUUGUGGGCUAUUUUGGAAAGGAGUCCAUGCCUGGGGAAUUUUUGGCUGAUGCUUAUGGCUUUUAGAAGUUUCUGGGAGAUCAGACGAAUAGAAACAGGAACCAGAUGGGACUUCUAGCUGCUGGAAAGAAAAGAAGAAAAAAAGGGGGAAAAAAAAAAACAUCCAUCCCUUGUUUAAAAUGUGAAGAGCACUUGUUCACUUUUGGGGAGUUUCCCCUCCACCUUGGGUUUCUUAUUUUAAAGUAAUUUACCCCAGUUCCAUGAUAUUCUCAUAGGACAUCUGUCUCUUUUGUUGUUAUUGCUAGGAACUUUUCUUUCUUUUGCAAUACAAAACAGUUUGUUCUUAGGAGAAUUUAAGCCUUUCACUUAUUAGAUAAAAAGAAAGUCAGUGAUUGGUUUUGUUCUUGCAGCAGCCUCAACAUCCCUUGGCCAUUUACUCACUGAGUUUAUCUCUGUGAGGCUGAAAAAGAUGAAAAAAAGGCAGUGGUAAUGAAGAGUAGAGCAAAAUUGGAGACAGGUUGAAAACUAAGCACAUGUAGGUCUUAUUUGAGGUAAAUGGCCAUCAAAGGGAGAGUUGCACCAUACUGGAACGCACAUGAAUCACAGGUGUGUGGUGCCUGCAGUCACCCGACUUGUUGAGCGUAGUGUUGGAUUUGUAGUGUCUUGGGUGUUGGGUUUUGGGGUUGUGGAUCUGAAAAACAGGCCUGGUCCAGUCCCAGGCUUCAUUUUUUUCAGACCUUGGCCCUGGAGCUGGUUGAUUUCUGGAAAACAUCCCAGAUGCUGAAUAGAGGCCAAGGAGCAUUUUCCAGGUUCUGGGUCCAAGCGGGACUCUGGGGCGGGAGUCGCGGUCCAGCCACGAUCUGAUGCUGUGCUGGGACUGGGCUCAGUUGUGCUUCAUCCUUGCAGCCUUUUCUUUCCAGGUUGGUGGGCAAUGGGAUGGUGAAACAGGGUAUGUUAUGUAGUUUCCCUGCUCUGCUCGGGAGAACUGUGAAAUCUUAUUCUCCAGCUAGUACGAAGGAAGCAAAGUAGAUACCGCCUCAUAGAUGAAGAUGAUAAAUGGAGAUUAUGAUACUUGUAAGCUUUGCCACUAAUCUUCUUUUAAGGGUUCUGCUUUUAAGGAAUUCUUUAAAUGAUUCAUUAGGGUCGGUUGGUUGCGCUGGUGUUGUUUUGGUUUGGUUGAUUUGAUUUUGUUUUUGUUUUUUCCCCUUCCAGUUUUCCAGAUAUUUACUGCUUCCUGGGGAAAAAAAAUGCACUCUUCCCAGGUUUCUAUCUUGUUUUAUAGCCUUCCUUUUCUUGAUAAUAAUUUCAUGUUAUUUCUGCAGCCAUUCCCAAGAUAGGGUCAUCAGUACAAGGCAGUGACCCUUGAUAAACCUUCACCCGUGGUUUGUAAGUCGGCAUGAGAGGAAAUCCGUCCCUGGGACUUAAUAACGUGUAAACCCUAUUUCUAGGGAACUGAUUGGGGGCUCCACAAACAACGUUAGGACUCUACUCUGUGCUCUGAUAGUUAUUAGUGGCAAUGCACAGAGACAACUGUAGAUAUUUUAAGACACAAUAGUUGAUCUUUUGUGUACGUUUUCAAAUAUGCAUGUGUUUGAACACGUGGCUUUGGUUUCAAGGUUUGUCACAGAUGGACCUAACUAAACCAGCUGCUUGAACCCCCUAGUAUGGUGACCAAUUGAUUAGAUUAGUUUAAAUUAAAAAAAAGUGCCCCAAAACAUAAGGCUUUGGGUUUGAGUGUCCAAUUUGAGUUCUGACAUUUGUGGCUUUCUUUUUUCCUUUGGCUCGGGCUGGUCCGGCAGGAUGUCCCAUAUUGGAAUGCUGCUCAGUUGUUGUUGUUCUUUGUGGUUCCAGCGGGCUGUUUUUUUCAGAAAUGUCUGGAAGGAAAGAGGCAUAGGGGACUUGGUUCACAGGAUUUGUACAAAAGCUUUUAUUUUCUCUUUUUUCCCCCCUUCUUUUUGCUUCUCAUGGCUCUGAUGUGCAAGUGCUCUUGGGAGUGACACGCUGAGAUUUGUAGAGCAAAGUGCUUAUCGCAUGACUCAGGUGAUUGCUGUCGCGGUCAAAACAGUGUCAUCCUAGGAAUUUUGUUUUAAUUUAGCUUCCAGCUCAAACAAAAGUCAUCUGAGUAGGCAAGCUUUUACUGGUUUCACUUUGGCUUCCCACGUCGGUUUAAUUUGGCCCAUGUUUGCUCAAAAUGUCUCCAGCUGUCUAGAAACUUGUUCCUAGCUUGCUGGAACAUUCACAGCCCUUUUGGCCAGUGUGACCUUAGUUAUAAAGGCUGGCUGUUGGUUUUUUUUCAGAUCAUUUUUAUUAGCUCUAUUUAUAUAUAAGUCAGCCCACAUAAUUGAAAGAGACAAAUGUGUUGGUCGUUGUCCUUGCAGGUUAUAAGUUACUGCUGUCCACAAUGCUCAAGCAUGAGAUCUGCCAGGGAACACCACCUCAUUUUGUUCCAUGGGAGUUUUUGCUAAUAUUUUGUUUUAUAUUAUCACUCUUUUUGUUUCUCUGUUGGAAAGUUUCCAUGUGUUUCACACUGAGGACCAAAGUCUCAGAAGAUUAAAGGACUGUCUUUCUGCCCAAAUAAUAGGAAUUGGAUGCUGAACUGUGCACUACUCAGAAAAUGAAAUGCCUUCUAAAGAAGAAAGAAGUGGCUGGAAGGAGGCAGUGAAAAUCCAUCAGAUUUGCAUGACUAAUUAGCUUAUCCAUUAGUUAUCCUUGUGUUUACUUGUAAUGAGAAUCUUCAAAGAUUAUUCUGUAUUUGACAUGGAGCUUAUUUUUUGCUUAUGCAAUUUUUUCUUUCCCAAUACACUACUGGGAUGUGUGCUGUACCUUGACAUACAUAAUUCUCUCUUAGCCCAAGUGUGCAUCCUCUGGACUAAGUGCCUACACAGACCAGGCUGCGCAUGAGACGUUUUCUCUUUCCCCUGAAACUGGGUCUGAUUUUGCAGAACUUCUCGGCAACCAGAGCCCGGCCUCGUUUCAUGAGAUGCGAGUGUUUCUCCAUGUCAAGUCCUGUUUUUCAGUUAUUCACCUUGAGUUAUUGACCUCCUCAGUUCUGAAACAACUGCUCCUUUUGUGGAAGUCAGUAAUGCACUGUAAGGAGAAAUUUCCUCUGUGUGCCUUUCUGAUAGUUUCCUCAGUGUAUGAUAUGAUUUCGUAAGAGAAAUGUGACUUCUGUAGUUGUUAUUUUCAGAUCUUCCUUGCUCAUAAAAUUUGAGAAGAUAAGUGUUGUCAUCUUUCAAAAAUUAAAGGCCAUCUUUAAAUAGCUCCACAAGCUUCUGCAUAUCCUACAAAUAUUUUUUUUAAUUAUUUUGUGACCGUGGGUUAUGAAUGUUCAUAUGCCCAAAGCAGGACACAGGAAGCAUGUUGCCUUUGGAUUUUGAAACACUAGGAAUUUGGAGGAGUUUUUGUUUCAUUUUUGUUUUGAAGUCUCUGUUAUGUCAUUCUUUUAGAAGGGUUAGUGGAACUGCAAAAGAAGAUGGAUAUAAGAAGCCUGCCUUUUGACAGAUCUUCCCAAAGGACUGGCUUUGGUAUUGUUCUCUGCCUGCUCAACUCAACCAGGCAGGUUUGUACCAUUUUCUGUUUUCUGGCAUUCACAGACUUCCACUAGACAUAUAAAACUUAACUACAAAAAGUCACCUUUUUAAAAAAAAUUGAGCCUGAUGAGACCUUUAUCUCUACAAGGAAACAAAAUCUGCAUUUGUGACCUAACUUGUCAGCUUUAAGAUAACUUACAUCUGAGCCUGCUGUUAUUGUGGAGGCUGAUUUUGCCAGCUCCGUGAUAUUUUUUCCUUCGCCAAGAACCUGCAGGGGUGUACUGAAUGUAUUUUGCCCAGAAUCAAAGUUCCUGAUGUAUUCGGGACUUUUAUCAUCACCUACUUCAGACUGAAUGAGAGGUGAACACUACUGUCCUCUCCAAGCACUUGUCCAUCAUUUCUGUUCCCUGAGCUGCACCUCCACAACAAGGAUGUUCUUGGGAUGAGCCUGCUCCAUGGGGUGCAUCCCCCAAAGGGAGACGGAGAGGAGAAGUGCUGAAGAUGACAAGGAGUCCGGCUCUGCUCCAAGAAAGCCUGAAUGGCCCCGAUUCAGCGAAGUCCACCCAUCGUUCACCUCCAAGCGCCCGAACCGCCCUGGGAGGAGACGCGUCCCUACGGCUGUGGUUAAGUGCUUUGCUGAACGGGGGCCAAGGUCCAGCGUGGAGCCACCCAGCUCCCGCCGGCUCCCUCUUUGGCGCCGCACCGUGGAGUCGGCCCUGGGCUCGGGUUGGAGGACGUUUCGAAAUCCUGGCCCUGACAGAGAGCAGAUGCAUUAUUGGGAAGCCCUCGGGUCAUGACAGGGCUAAUAGUCACAUUCCUGGCUGGGAUGGCGAAAGAUUUACGCCGGGCGCUCGCUCGCCUCGCCCUGCACCAGGCCGGCUCCCUACUUCACCAGCCCCCUCGGCUUUAAUUGUUGUGUUAAUGGCCCUUUUAUUUGAAGCAGAUCCCCCGGCUUACAGAGGAGAAUGUCAUUAUGUCGUAUUUUAGAUGUAUUUACAUUCUCCUUGCCACAGGGAUAACGUUCUAAUUAUUUUCUAUAGCUGACAGCACCAGCGUCUCUGGUAUUAGAGACCCCUUAGACCUGAUUACAUGGUCUGUUUUUCUUCAAAUCACCCACAAAUGACAGUGAGGAGCAGGUUUAUUAUCAAUUGACGUACCUUUGCUUAACGCAACUCGCUCCUGAAACAAAUGUCCUGGAAAGAUAAUACAUGUUUAGAGCAUGUGUCUUCCCUUGCGUGAAGGCAGAUGGGCUUAGGAGGUCAAGCCAACAGUUGACCUCUCCUGAGUCCUCAGCCUUCACCGCACGCCCCCAGCACAGACACAGCACGGUGCUGCAUAGCGUUCCCCUUGCAAACCAUCCCCAAAGGCCAUCGAAAAGGGCCGCUGUACAUUUUACAGCUGCCGUGUCAAAUGGUGGUGGUUGACAGCAUGGGAAGGGGAUGGAGGUGCAGCAGGGAAGGAAGGAGAAGUGGAGGAUGUUGGCUUAGUUUUUAAUGAAGUGUGAAGAGGUACCAGAGUCUGGUCUAGAUGGUGGGGUUGUUCCCAUGUGAGAAGUUGUUUUCAAGGGCUCCUCACUGGAGAGAGCUGUGAGACACAUGGUGGACUUGAUGGACAGGGUGGUGAGAGGAGACAGCAGGGUGCACAGGGCUGGUGGACGGAGGUUGGGGACCACAUGGAGAACAGAGUUGUGAUAGAAGAUGAGACAGGAGAGCCCUGACAGCUUGAUGAGAGGAGGUGGGAUGGGGACAAGAGCAGAGAUGGUGCCUUCAGAUCAAUGGGCCGUGACGGGGAGUUGGCUGGGGAGGUGCGGGAGCACACAGAAGUAGGGACAGCAAUUGAGAUAAGGAGAGCGAGAGACACAGUUAUUAGAACAGAAUGAUUUGAUUUAUCCCGAGUCAUUUAUUCACCAAUUUUUCCCCCUGAGAUCUCAAACAGACUGAAGUGGUUUCAAAUGUUGUCAUUAUUUAGAACAAUUCAACAAAAUGUUUGUUGCUUUGAAAAAAUGGGAGGGGUGAGAGACCUAGAAAAGAAAGAAAGGAAAAAUAAAAGCCUGGAUGGUCUGGUUUGCCACAUUUGAAUUUUAUUGCUGAACUGGGAUGGGUGAAGAAAAAUCUCUUUUUCUGUUCUCUGAGCGGGAGUUUCACUUACAAAGCCACUUCUGAUGCGAAUGCUUGCCCAAGCUCAGAGGCUGUCUCCGUGUGUAUUCCAACAUGAAACAGCAAAAAGCAAGUAUUUGUGGGAGUGAAACCCUGUCGAGGAAAUGUUUGUGCACCAGGACAUCUCAACACAGAGACAAUUUCAUUACAAAAUUCAGGCGUGUCUUCAUGGAGACUUCUCCUUGCAGCUCUAGAGAUUAUUUUAUACUUGGAGCUGCAGGGCACACAAGGCAUUUUAAAAGCAAAUAGGCAAAGUCGCUGCCCCAAGGGAGUUACAAUUGAAGUUGGACCAAAGCAGAGUGAAAAUGCUGGCUGCAUGGUCUUAAAAACCAGAAGGUGGGCAUUUCUAUUUGGAAAGCCAAGGAUUCCAUUAAGUUAUGUGGUUUUUAGCCUUGGCCUAAAAGAAAUGGGUCUCGCUCCUUACCCUCAUGACAUUGGAGCCGAUCUGCAGGGUUCAGUGAAAGGUGACAGCAGGGUAGAGGUCUCAAAGGUACUGUGUUCCUGGUUUGUUUUGUGAAAAUAAAAAGCCAGGUGGAAGAGAGGCAACCAAACCAUCAUUUCAACUGAAAGAAAAGCUUCUGCAUAUCCAGAAGCAGUAUAACUACUCUUCAAAAACUCAGAGAGGAAAAGGAAGAUGCAGCUGUUUUGCAGCCAUUAUGGCUGCAGCUGUUGGAGAAGUUUCCAUCACAGCAGGAACGUGAGACUUGCACCCUUUAAGACCCAGGAAAGUUCAACCAUGGGAACAUGAAGUCCAGGAAAACAGGAUUUUUAUUUCCACCUCUCUUGAAGUUACCUUUUGUUUUCAGUUUACUCGUGUUCAUUUGUGGAUGGAGGUUUGGGGAAGCUUCUUUUGGCUCAAAGAACCGUGAGUGAGCAGAGCAUCUCCUGCCUCUGCUGGAGAGCGUUUUGGGGGUGGAGGUGCUGAUGGAUCAUCAACCAGUUGGCCACAGUGUAAACAGGAGUUAGAGAAGGAUUAGUUACAAUGUUCUUACCACUGUUUUGAUGUUGAACUGACUAAUAUAACUGAGUGUCUGCUGCCCUGUUUGGCCAAUUUGAUCAAUCUGUUGGCCUCAGUAUGGGAUGAAGAAUGGCAAAGUGUAGAGCUGGUUCUGUACCAAUGUCUGCGGAGUUUGACUUGAAUAUUCAAAUACAUGUGUCCUGUGCAGAUUUGCUGCCCUGUGAACGUCUGAGCUGUAAUAAGGUGAGUGCUACUAGAAAGCAAAGGUUUAAUUAGCUCUGCUAUUUCAAUGCUUUCCUGAAGUGCAUUUCAAAUCAUACACUUAGUUGUGAAACCUGUCGUCGAUGCUGCGUUUGAUGGUUACAGAAGUUGUGUGGUUUUUCCUUAUCAUUUUUUCCCGAGGAGCCAGCCCUGAUCAGAUUUCUUAAUUUUCAGAAUGCAGCACAAAAGAGUGAAUUGCAAGUACUCUGUGAGUUAUUAGAGGAGAAUAUUACGAGUAACUUAAAAGAGGAAAUACAUGCUAGAAUUUUGUGUCAUGGUGGCUAAUUGUCCAGUAGCAGAAGGGAAAAGAAAGGACUAAAUCGAUUAGUCGAGCUUGUUCAUUGAAUGGUUUUUGCUGAUAAGUUUUGUGUAGUUGUGCUUGGCAGACCAAAUGUUAGUCCAAAGAGCAUACCAGAGAUUUGGGAGUUUCUUUUAUUUUGUAAAAUAAAAACAAUUGGAUCACAGCAACGAUUGCAAGAGAGGCAACGUAAUAUGCUUCUGUAGGGCUUUUCUGUGAGUGAGUCACAAACUGUACUGAUACAGCGCUUUUCUGAAGGGGUCGAUACGUGGUGCAACAGAAAGAUAAGAGGAGCCAUAGUUUUGCCAGAAGCACCGCGAGGCUGUGGACACGCACACCAAGACAUGCAGGAGCAAAACUCUAGAAAAGUUUAGGAUCCUUAAAUCACUUGUGGUGGAGCCCAGAAGUGGAAGCACCAGAAGGAGCCAUUGUGUGGGCAGAUUCGGGGCGCUACACCACAGAAUGAAGCCCCUUCUACGCUGGAGACACCGUCAUCGUUAUCUCAGCUCCAGUGGGGUCUUGGCGGGUGGAGCCUCACAAGUCACAGUCCUGCAUGGAGCUCACUUUAUCUUCAUCAGGAGGUUGGAGGCUGAGUCAGCCCUGCUGGGAUUUGCACCAGUGGUUCCAGGAAGUCUGGGUAUUUCAAACCUUAGGCUUAGACCUCUAAUCAUCCCCUUAUCUAAACUGCCUAACAUCUGAGUCUGCAAAAUUGGGUUGGAAAUCUCACACAAACACACUUUCCCCAGCGGCAUUUCUGCAUUUGUUUGCCAGUGGAACCCAGGACUACAGAAGGGCACAGAAGAUUCAGCUUUGAAACCAAAGGUCUAAUCAAAGUGUUGGGUGAAGUCCUGGUCCUUUCUUGAUUGAUGGUCUUGCUUACCGCUUGCUGACAGCCAGAGAGGUUCACCCUUUGGGGCAGAAACCACAGAGUUAACACUCAGAGAGGCAAGUGUUGACCCUCUUGGGCCAUAAGUUUAGAGGAAUCUAGUUCUUUUAAAUUGAUGCAUCUGAUGGGGAUGGAAGAAAGGGAUUGAUUGCUUUCUUGUUACUUAAAUAGUCUCAUCCUAAGACCCCAACUGCAAUAAACAUAGAAAUUGUUUAAAUUAUCCAGGGUAUUUUUUUUCAACCCAAGAAUUCAGAGAUAAAUGAUGUGAGGUCCUACAUCAAGCCAGCAUCUCUGAAUCUAUCCCCAGGUGCCUUCUCCAACCUCACUUUGCCACAAAGCCUAAAGAACUCAGAGAGAUGAAAUUCUUACAGGUUUUUUGAGAAUAGCUAGUUGAAUGGGGAGGACAAGCUAAAUUAGUUCCCCUAUUAGGAGGCGGUUGCGGUAUUAAUUCACCCCUUAUCAUGCAGCAGAGGCUGCGUCAAGGGGAGGCAAAGGACUUUCUGAUGUCCCCCAGUUGUAGAAAAGCUCCAGAGAAAGUUCUUGCUUUAUCACCCAUCUUGUUGUGCAGUGGCACCUUCAAGAAUAAACAAGCCGCCUUUAUUUGUUCCUCAUCUCUUAUGCUUGUUUAUAUGGCAUUUUCAUUGGUAACCUGUGUCCAUGUGGAAGUUGUUCUUUCUUCACCUGAGCCCUGUCACUGAAGGAAAGGAAUAUCCCAGGACUCGAUGCUACAUUGAGUGGGGUGAUGCACCAGAAAGGGAAGUUUCCAGUUUUGACCUCUAGUCAAGAAAGAGGACUGGUAUAAAUAAUUCCUCACAAAUCCGUGCUUUGAUAUGUUUGGCUUCUUUCAGAGUAUCUGUGGGCAGAUGCAUGAUAAAUUUCUCAUUUUAACCAAUGUUACAAAUCUCUGGAGAAAGCGACUGCUGUUUGCUGCCCAUCUAGAGUAGCUAAGCCAGAUUCCUCUGUUCUGAUUUGUCAGAUAGGGUGACUGAUGAUGUUUGUAAAUGUAAAUUUUAAGUUUCCUCAAAUUCUAGUGUGUAAAGCUUCAAAAUAGUCAUUUUCUAUAAACAUUGUUCCUUGAAAAAGUUCUGCCACUUGAAUAUCUGGUGGAGAUGAAUGCACACUGCAUGCGGAGUUGGCAAAGAGGCACCCAUCUAUAAACAUACAGUUACUAUUCAUGGAGAUGUCUUUUAUCCUCUUUCCAGUUGUACAAACACACCACCACCACCACCCCCGGCAAUAUUGCAUUGUAAAUUACCUUCCCUUUAAAAGCCCUCUCCCCUUAGUGCUUUUCAUUCAGGAGAUGGGAGACAGCCCUGGGCUUGUUGUCUUCAGAUCAAAUACGAGCUGCAGGCUCCGUGUAUUCACCUGAAUUAUACGAACCGCAGUGCCGUAGCUAUUUACUUGUUGUGAUACAUUUCCUUUUCUCGAUUAACCAGGCUCUGAAAAGACACAUCUGUUUCAGCAUUGCCCCCUCAAGGCAGCCCAUCAGCUUUCUUUUUUCCCUCACCUUUUCCUCGCCUUACCCUCUGUGGUCUGCUGCAUUAUGUUGUCUUGUGUUUGUGAUUGGCAUUAGAUUCCUGGUGCAGGGACUGUGCCAUAGUGAAAAGUCACCUAUGGGCAGUGGAUAUGAGAACUAUUCAGGGAGAUGCAAGUGCUGCAGCCUGUUUUGUGGCUAAAGCCCCAAAGGCUGGGCUAGUGGCUGUUUCUAAUGAGUUACAUAGAGCCUACCUAUAACUUCUUAUAAUGUUCCAAGGUCUGGGUACCCUCAUUUUCUUAUUAACUUCACUGGUGUUCAGGACCAGGCAGGUCUGGUCCCCAAUACUGAACUAAUGCACUGGCAUCCUUUAGCAUUUUAAAUGUACGCACUGAGUGCUACUUUUAAAAGAAACUGAACAGGACCGUGAUUUGCAGUUAAAAUAAAUACAAGAUAAUUUACUAGAAUACACGAUAGGAGUCACAACCUCCACAGUGUAUUUCUGUUAUACGGCCUGAGUACUGGAGGAGUUUAUUGCAUGGUUCACCAUGUGGCAUCCAAAAACGUUCUGGAAACAGCUGUUGAUUUGCAGCUAGGAAUUGUUUUAGGGAGAAAGGAGAGCAGGAGCCCUUGGCCAAUUUGAUGAUGUGGAACACUGUGUUUUCCCCCAAACCCCUGUGCCAGAGCUGGGGUGGCUGUGCUGCAGGGCUGCCCUCCCCAUGGCCAUGCCCCACGCUCCUCUCCGCAGCAAAAGCAGCAGUGCUGCUGCUGUCCAUCCUUGUAUUCUGCUCUCAGGCCUCUCUUGCCCUUUGAAGAUUCCCCAUUGUUUGGGCUAUUAACAUACUUUUGGGGUGGAUGUUUAUCUUCUUUUUUAAACUUUUACGGCAGGCAUGUUGUUAAAGAAAACCCCGAGAAGCUCUUUGCAAGAAAGCGCCACCGGAGCCCUUUGGUGAGCGUAAUGCAACUCUGAGCAGCCCUUCCCUUUAUUUGAUCAGCUUCUAAUACCUAACAGUUCUGUAAGUAAACAUUUAUAGAUCAAAUCAGAAGCUCGCAAAAGGAAGCACUCUUGAUAGAUUAGAAGCUAAACUGAUCUAAAUUAGAAGAGAUGCAGAGAUAACCUUGCCUGGCUAAAAAGCAUAUACUAUCGGUUGCAUGCAGAUAAUUAAAUGAACGAGCCCUUUUCUAUUGAACAACUGAUGUGCAAUUGAUAAACUUAAUUAAUAAUUAACUUUUUAAUUAAAUAUCAAUUUAAAACAAGUGUGGUAAUAUGCCACUCGCAUUUAAUUUUGCUGCCUUUUCUUCAUUAAAGAACCAUCAUUAGGGUUACAGGUAUCUGUUUAAGAUGCCUCUGUGCACUGCGCAGGGAAUAAAUGUGUCCACUGGGCACCCGCCAGCGAGGAGAUGGUGAUAAACAGCAGUGACUGGAGACAAAGCCGGUGAGCAACCUCAGAGAGGCAGAAGGAGCCAGAGAUAAAGGGCACAUCCCUGGCCACGGCUUUCUUAGCAGCAGAAGGCCUACGUGGGUUAUGUUUGCUAUUAAAAGAGGCUGCGGUGGAUAUAGAAGAGCUGAGCCCUCCUUGUAACCACUCUUUGGGAAGAAGGUCCUUCCCAGCGUUAUGAAUGAAGUGGCUGGAUGAAGCUAAGACUGAACAUCUAAACCCUGACCUGUGUGAGGGGAGAGAGAUCCAUCAGUUAUUGCCUUGUUUCAGCAAAACAAUCCCACGCAAGUGAGGGAAAGCUGCAAUCUUUUUCCAUGUGUCUUCUCACAUGAUGCCUUAGUGCAAUUCCUAUUAGUGCUAAUGGGGUAAUUGGCUCCCCUCAAUGUGAACUCCCUAUAAUGCAUCCACAUAACUCGAUUUGAGAGUGUAAAUCCCAUUAGCCUGAAUGGCGAUCUUUUCUGCCUCUAAUUUACCCAUUUGAUCCUGCAAGCACUAACAGCCGAUCUCGUCUCCCUUUGAAAGCGAUAAAUAGGCAUCUGACUUCCGCUAAAUGAUGUUUGCGAAGGUGCACGACGGGCAUCCCACCUCCAGGCUGGUGCCCCUCUCCGUGCCUCCUCCCCAUCAGUCUGCCCUUGCAAACAUCUUACAAGAAGGGAUGUUGCUGCGGGGCUGCUGGAGAAUUCCUGCUUUUCAUCUGGCCCCCCGGGGCCUCCCCAGCUCUCAGACACAUGUGGCGGCUGCAGCCGCGCAGCACGGGACGGCAACAGGUGCGUGGGGCUCCCCAGAGAUUCGGGCGCUUUCUGGGUGUCCGUGCAAUCAGUUGCUGUGGUGCUGGAGUCACAGCAGCUCCUUGAUCCACCGUCCGCCACUCUUGUUGGAUUCCUGACAUUUUGAAUUUAUGAAUAAACGCACCACAUCAAAUGAGAAUAAUCGAGGAGCUGACGGCUUCUUUGCUGCAGAUUCUCCCAUCCGCCAUCUGCCAAGUCCAUGCCUCGUCCUAACUAUGCUCCUUUGUUUUUCAUAGAAUCACAGAAUCAUUUUGCUUGGAAAAGACCCCCAAGAUCAUCGAGUCCAACCAUUAACACCGGUGCUAAACCACAUCCCUGAGAAUCUCAUCUAUGCAUCUUUGCCCCUCUGUUUGAAAAAUUACCGAGAGUGCUCAGCUGUAAUUCACAUACCUGAAUACAACAGAUGCUGCUUGAAGCAAACAGCUUCUGCGCAGCCUUGGCAUUUGGGAUGGUUCCUUCCACCUACCUAAUAAGCACUUACAAGGGGCAAAAGCAUAUGCAUAAGGCAGGAAAUUUGGCUUCAGACUGGGGAAAAAAAAAAGGUGAAAGGCUGCAAUGGACAUUUCCACCAGCCCUGUGCCUGCUAGCAACAAGGAAGAAUACUUGAGCACCUCACUGAGGAUGUAAGAAAAGAUUAUGGGUUGCCUUUUUUAAUAUCUUGAUUUGUUUCCAACUGAAAUGAGUAGGGUAGAGGAGAAGCCAAUGGGCUCUUGACUGUCCUUCUGCAAUGUGGGGCUUGAAGCCAACUGGAAACGACUCCUCUGAAGGUACCAUCUUGGCCACAGCACCAGACACCUAUCCGGUUGGAAUACACCGCUGAUGAAAGGAUGAUUUCUUUUCCUGCCCUGCCUCAUCAGAGGAUAUUCUCGCUUCUCCACAUAUGAAGGGAAGAUGGGUCCCUCCCGUGGGGAAUGUCACUGCUGGCCACCGCUUCCUUUCUGAAAGCCCCGUUUGAAAAGGAGGAAAUAGUUGGUGGAGGAAGUUCCUGUAAAGGAAUCUUUCAAAUCCUUAUUUUUGCCUUUUUUUUUUUUUUUUCAGGGGACACCCAAUAGGAUGGAAAUAAUUGGUGUGGCUGCCUCAAGUGAUGGAAAAAUUGCAGAAAACUGCAAAGGGUGUGACAGCAAGAAAACCGGCUUAUUCUCCAUUUAUUGUACAAUAUUUAUCAUCAACCCGUUUUGUAUAUUUUGCUUUCUUUUGUGUAAUCUUAUCAUCACUGGAGUUGAAAACGAUGUAAUUUUUGCUCCUUUGAGUAGUUGCCAAAAAAGCACUUACGUCGGAGUAUUAGUGUAUCAUUUGGCUAGCACAUCACAUAAUGGUUUUUUUACAGCAAGUAUUUAACCAUGUUUUCAUCCUGUGGGAAAGAAUGAUGGGUCUGUUUUGUAAAAAUAAGACCUUGUGGCAAUGUGGACAUGCAAGAGAUAGAAACAUAAUGCAACAAAUUAGUUUCAACACACAGAAAUGAAGUAGUCCAGGCUCCAUACAUUCAGCAGUGCUGGUUUUUCUCUCUCCCUUUUGUCUCUCCCUUUUUUCUCUUAUUCUGAAAUGUAUUGUUGGAUUUUAUGGGAAAACUUUGCAAGCAGAAACUCUUAGAAUUCAACAAGCCACCUACUUGGUUUGGGCACCCAAGAGGAUGUUGUACUUGCGUACACACAUAUGUUUGUGUAUAUGUGUGCACACACAUAGCUAAAAAUAGUGUAAGUGCAUGUGCAAAAGAGAGAGUAGCUGUGGGUACCAAGCAGAUAUGAUCAAAUUCAUCCAUUUUGUGUGACUUAGUGCAAGUUCAUGGUGUUAUGGAGAGAACCAAAUUAGCUUUAUUAUAGACUGAAAAGAUACUUUGGUUUUUAGCAACAGAAGGAGUAUUGUGAAGCAGGAGAAAUCUGAUCGUUCCAAUUUUUUUCUUCAGGUGCUUCAGAAAUAAUCAAGCAGUUAAUUAGUACAAUUUGAGGUGUAUUAAUCCUUCCCAAAUAGCGAUUAAGUGAAUCUCUGUUAUAACCUGAAAUCCACUAUUAACUUAAAAACCGUUGAUGCCACGAUCCACGUCUUUCCAAUCUGUGUGUUUUACAACCUGCCCCCAGGAACGGUCACUCUCACCUCUGCCACGGUUGCUGUUUUAAAGUUCUCCCAUUUCUAAACUUUAUUCUUUUUAUUAAAAUGCCCCAAUGCAUUGCGACUAACAUUUCUUUUUCUUUGUAUGUAAAAUUCACCAGGAUCUCUCUCAGCUUUUCCCAAGUAACUGUGUAAUCUGUUUGAUGUCCUUCUUUCCAGCAGCCACUUACGCGUUUGUGCAGUCACAGGCACAUUUGUGUUUUGUCAUGUCUGGAAAUGCCAAGUACGUGCCUAACUUUACUUAGGCGAGGAGUGGAGUUGAGCAUAUGGCUACAUGGUUCCUAAGUAAAAUAAAAAAUGCCAUUCAGCAAAUUUAUUAGGGCUUUAUAGUGAGUUAUCAUCAGUAGUUGCACUAAAAUACAACUCAGAAAAACAGACUCUGUAGCAGAGACUUUAUGAUGGAAUAGGCUUUUUGUGUGUCUUGUCUUUGCUUGCUAAUUUACAGCAUUCCAGAACUUCCAAAAACAUCUAUGAAUUGUUCUCUGAAAGCCUUUCAUCCUGAAUGGUGCUGGGAAACCACACCGCUCGCUGGUGUUGUGAGUCAGGGUGCUCAAGUCCUGCCCUUUGGGUGCCCAGGUGUGAGCAGAGCUUCACCUUUCCUGUGCUGUAAGAAGAGUGAUUAAAAGCCAACAAGCGAAGAUAUGGCCGUGGAAGAGCAAGACCUUCCCAUAACAGGACAGCAAGAGCAAUUGGGCUGUUUCUCAUGCUGCCUUGGGAGCAUCAACUGCAACAGAGCGGACACUUGGGGCAAGAGCUGUAACGCAGGGAGAAGAGCUAAUGAAUGACCUUUGCGAGAGCACGAUUGAGUCAAGCCCACCAAAGAAUGAUAGGUGAGGGCUUGUGUUAUCCUUGAUAAAAAUCUUGUUGGUAUUUGGGGCAGAAUGGCUCUGCUGGACACUUAGCUUGCCUCUUCCUGUGCCCUUCCAUUCCUGCUUUGCCAAAAUUCUGGUGUUUAGUUAUGCUUGCUCCAAAUAAAAUAUUCUGGACUGGCUAUGUUUCCUGAACUUUAAGGCAUUUCUUUGCAAUGUACAUGCAGAAGUGAGACUGCUCAUCGCUGAGCAUCUUCAGGGUCCUUGUCCUGUGCUGCAGUGACCAUCACCACAGGGCUGUGCACAUCUCUAACCUGCCUUGGAAAAGUCUCUGGAACAGAUGUCUUGUGCAGAAAUAAAUAGAAAUAAAACUUAAGCUGCUAGAAAAAUAUCUAUUUUGAUUUCUGCUGGAGAAACACAUCCCACCAUGGCUGCCCCCCCUCAAUGAAUUCACACUGAUUUUUUAAGAAAUAUGCUAUAUUGCAGGAUCUUGCAAGAUGCCAGGAGAUGAAGGACUCUGCGGAGCCUUGUGUUACAGUCAGAGUCCAAAAAGAUGACUUCCCCCAAGAGGGAAAAAUUUGUUUUCUUGUUUAAUGCUGUCUCUUGUUUAGACUUGGUGAUUUUAAUGGCCCAUUUAUUUUUUAUUUUUAUUUCUAAGUAUGCGUAUCUUCAUGCCCAAAAUACUUUGUGAACUCUGCUUUUUUUUAAUCCCUGUAAAGUGUAUCUUUCAGGUAAGUUCUUGUUUCUUGCAUUUUUUGUCUAUAAUUGCAGAGAUGUAAGGGAAAGAACAUACAGUUUUAUAAAGCAGUCAUCUGACAUGAAGUUAUGGAGAACAUACUUGCUCUGCCUGUUCCCUCUUAAUAUUCUGGCAUACACACACAUAUAUAUGAGUAUGACUGGCAACAGAUAAAGUAGGUUAAUGGUAGAGAAUGUUGAAGGGUAGGCGCCAGUUCUGAACUAUUUUUAUGUGUUUUUCUAAACUUUUUAUCACCUAAGCGGGUAUA